UAGGCAAUCUCUAUGAGAGCCUUUUGACUUGUAGAACCCAGUGAACUUUACAGUUUAUAGAGAGGUAGACAAAUGAGGGAAGAAAUCUAAGUUCUAUAGAGAGAAACAGCUCCUGUUUCAUACACAAAAAGGAGGACUAUAUUAGCAUUUGUCUGUUCUAAGGAAAAUAAUGUUAUUUUUCAUUAUCAAGCACUCCCUGAAUAUUUCCAGCAGCUAAAAAACUAAUCAAAACAUCAAAUCUCCACAAUAAAACUGUGAACUUAGAACAAACAGCCAUAAAAACAACUUAACAAGAACAACUUGGACUAACAACAGCCAGAGUUUAUGACAAAAGAACCAAUCAAA